CACCUGCACGUCCAACAUCUCAUUCCAAGAUCAUGGGCUUUAAUAUGGAGUUGGACCCCCCUUUGCUGCUAUAACAGCCUCCACUCUUCAGGGAAGUCAUUAAUAUGGAGUUGGACCCCCCUUUGCUGCUAUAACAACCUCCACUCUUCUGGGAAGGCAUUAAUAUGGAGUUGGUCCCCCCUUUGCUGCUAUAACAGCCUCCACUCUUCUGGGAAGUCAUUAAUAUGGAGUUGUUGGACCCCCUUUGCUGCUAUAACAGCCUCCACUCUUCUGGGAAGUCAUUAAUAUGGAGUUGGUCCCCCCUUUGCUGCUAUAACAGCCUCCACUCUUCUGGGAAGGCAUUAAUAUGGAGUUGGACCCCCUUUGCUGCUAUAACAGCCUCCACUCUUCUGGGAAGUCAUUAAUAUGGAGUUGGACCCCCCUUUGCUGCUAUAACAGCCUCCACUCUUCUGGGAAGUCAUUAAUAUGGAGUUGUU
ensembl:lncRNA